CAUGUGCCUAUCGUCCCAGCUACUCAGGAGGCUGAAGUGGGAGGAUUAUUUGCGCCCAGAAAUUUGAGGCCACAGUGUGGUAUAUCAUCUGUCAAUAGCCACUGCACUACAAACUGGGCAUCCUAGCAAGAACCUGUAUCUCCAAAAAAAAAAAACUUGAAAAGUGAUUAAGACUAUCCACGUGUUUUUUCUUACUGUUUCUGUCUACUUCCUAAUCUGCAGAUCUGCAAAUGGAAUAAAUGCAAAUGGGAUAAAUGCAAAAUGGAAUAAAUGUCUGGCAGAAGUCAGAAUCUGGAAUUUUUACCAAUUUUGUCCAAUUUAAUUUUACAGUCAACUUGAUCAGCUACUGAGGUGUGUUGGAAGUCAUAGCCACAAUAUUUUGCAGCUCCUCCCAUCAAGUCUCUUGGGGUCCUGCUGGCAUGUAAAGAAGCUCAGGCUAAGCCAUGGACGGAUGAGAGACCACGUGGGGAGAUUCCCAACAAGUCCCAACCCACAUCACAUGGAAGAAAGUCAUACAGCAGCGCCCUCAUGCAGAAUGGUGGACCCAGAUGCACAUAACUUGCAAAGAAAUUGUCUGAAAGGAGGUGGCCGUCAGUCAGAGUGAAGAAGGUACCCUUUUCAGACUGUUACAUGAAUUUUAAAUUCCAACACUUUGGGCAGCUGAGGUGGGAGGAUCACUUGAACCCAGAAGUUCAAGACCAGCCUGGGCAACAUAGC
rnacentral:lncRNA from 1 species